GGAGAUAGAGACCGGCGCACGGGUGCGUAACGCGUAUGCAAUCUACCUUUUACAGAGGGAUAGCCCAGAGAAAUUUGGAUUAAUACCUCAUAGUAUAUAGACCUGGCAUCAGGAUNNUAUUAAAGUCACAACGGUAAAAGAUGAGCAUGCGUCCCAUUAGCUAGUUGGUAAGGUAACGGCUUACCAAGGCUACGAUGGGUAGGGGUCCUGAGAGGGAGAUCCCCCACACUGGUACUGAGACACGGACCAGACUCCUACGGGAGGCAGCAGUGAGGAAUAUUGGACAAUGGGCGCAAGCCUGAUCCAGCCAUGCCGCGUGCAGGAUGACGGUCCUAUGGAUUGUAAACUGCUUUUAUACGAGAAGAAACACUCCUUCGUGAAGGAGCUUGACGGUAUCGUAAGAAUAAGGAUCGGCUAACUCCGUGCCAGCAGCCGCGGUAAUACGGAGGAUCCAAGCGUUAUCCGGAAUCAUUGGGUUUAAAGGGUCCGUAGGCGGUUUGGUAAGUCAGUGGUGAAAGCCCAUCGCUCAACGGUGGAACGGCCAUUGAUACUGCCAGACUUGAAUUAUUAGGAAGUAACUAGAAUAUGUAGUGUAGCGGUGAAAUGCUUAGAGAUUACAUGGAAUACCAAUUGCGAAGGCAGGUUACUACUAAUUGAUUGACGCUGAUGGACGAAAGCGUGAGUAGCGAACAGGAUUAGAUACCCUGGUAGUCCACGCCGUANACGAUGGAUACUAGCUGUUGGGAGCAAUCUCAGUGGCUAAGCGAAAGUGAUAAGUAUCCCACCUGGGGAGUACGUUCG
rnacentral:rRNA from 1 species